rnacentral:rRNA from 1 species
CCUACGGGUGGCAGCAGUGGGGGAUUUUGCACAAUGGGGGAAACCCUGAUGCGGCAACGCCGCGUGUGGGACAAAGUUUUUCGAUUUGUAAACCACUGUUCUUGGUGAAGAUAAUGACGGUAACCAAGGAGAACGCUCCGGCUAACUACGUUCCAGCAGCCGCGGUAAUACGUAGGGACCAAGCGUUGUCCGGAUUUACUGGGUGUAAAGGUUGGGUAGGCGUUCUUGCAAUUCAGACGUGAAAACCACAGGCUCAACCUGUGGACUGCGUUUGAAACUGUGGGGCUUGAGGGAAGUAGAGGUAGGCGGAAUUCCCGGUGUAGCGGUGAAAGGCGUAGAGAUCGGGAGGAACACCAGUGGCGAAGGCGGCCUACUGGGCUGUAACUGACGCUGAGGCACGAAAGCAUGGGUAGCAAACAGGAUUAGAUACCCGUGUAGUC